rnacentral:lncRNA from 1 species
GUUGGGUGAAGACAAAGUGGAAAGCUAGUUGAAAAUUAACAACACCUAAUUAAAAAACUCAUGUGUCUAAGUUGAGGUUCAUUCAAGUUUUUGUUGAUAGAAUUGAAAUAUGAUCUGAACCAAAGUUCUAGUUUAUAGUUUCUAUAUAAGGUAAAAUCGUAAAAACAUUCAAUUCUAUCCAAUAUUCCAUUCACUAAGGACGAGAGACUAGUGUACACAUGACAUUCGAUAAUUAAAGAGUUUUGAAAACUUUAAUGGCUUAAUUUCAUCUACAUAUAACGUUGUUUAUUAUUUUUUUUAAUAAAAAAACAUAUUUGUGAAAAAAUUAUGUGUAGGCACGUGCCUAAAGUGCCUAACGGCAGCUAGGCCCC